GAGUUUGAUCCUGGCUCAGAACGAACSCUGGCGGCGUGCUUAACACAUGCAAGUCGAACGUGAUCCGGAGCUUGCUCCGGUGAAAGUGGCGCACGGGUGAGUAACGCGUGGAUAAUCUGCCCUGGUAUCUGGGAUAACAUCUCGAAAGGGGUGCUAAUACCGGAUAAGCCUACGGACUCCUCGGAGUCUGCAGGAAAAGGAGGCCUCUAUUUAUAAGCUUCCGUAUCAUGAUGGGUCCGCGUACCAUUAGCUAGUUGGUGGGGUAAUGGCCUACCAAGGCGACGAUGGUUAGCUGGUCUGAGAGGAUGAUCAGCCACACUGGAACUGAGACACGGUCCAGACUCCUACGGGAGGCAGCAGUGGGGAAUUUUGCGCAAUGGGGGAAACCCUGACGCAGCAACGCCGCGUGAGUGAUGAAGGCUUUCGGGUCGUAAAGCUCUGUCAGAGGGGAAGAAAUGAGUCUGGCUAAUAUCCAGAUUUCUUGACGGUACCCUCAAAGGAAGCACCGGCUAACUCCGUGCCAGCAGCCGCGGUAAUAC
rnacentral:rRNA from 1 species